rnacentral:rRNA from 1 species
AUUGAACGCUGGCGGAAUGCUUUACACAUGCAAGUCGAACGAUGAACCUUAGCUUGCUAAGGGGAUUAGUGGCGAACGGGUGAGUAAUAUAUCGGAACGUGCCUUGUAAUGGGGGAUAACUAGUCGAAAGAUUGGCUAAUACCGCAUACGCCCUGAGGGGGAAAGUAGGGGAUCUUCGGACCUUACGUUAUAAGAGCGGCCGAUAUCUGAUUAGCUAGUUGGUGGGGUAAUGGCCUACCAAGGCGACGAUCAGUAGCUGGUCUGAGAGGACGACCAGCCACACUGGAACUGAGACACGGUCCAGACUCCUACGGGAGGCAGCAGUGGGGAAUUUUGGACAAUGGGCGAAAGCCUGAUCCAGCCAUUCCGCGUGAGUGAAGAAGGCCUUCGGGUUGUAAAGCUCUUUCGCAAGGGAAGAAAACUUACAUUCUAAUAAAGUGUGAGGCUGACGGUACCUUGAUAAGAAGCACCGGCUAACUACGUGCCAGCAGCCGCGGUAAUACGUAGGGUGCGAGCGUUAAUCGGAAUUACUGGGCGUAAAGCGUGCGCAGGCGGUUUGGCAAGUCAGAUGUGAAAUCCCCGAGCUCAACUUGGGAACCGCGUUUGAAACUGCCAGACUAGAAUAUGUCAGAGGGGGGUAGAAUUCCACGUGUAGCAGUGAAAUGCGUAGAGAUGUGGAGGAAUACCAAUGGCGAAGGCAGCCCCCUGGGAUAAUAUUGACGCUCAUGCACGAAAGCGUGGGGAGCAAACAGG